rnacentral:rRNA from 1 species
AUCAAACUUGAGAGUUUGAUCCUGGCUCAGAACGAACGCUGGCGGCAUGCCUAAUACAUGCA